rnacentral:rRNA from 1 species
UACGUAGGGCGCAAGCGUUGUCCGGAAUUAUUGGGCGUAAAGAGCUUGUAGGCGGUUUGUCGCGUCUGCUGUGAAAUUUCGGGGCUCAACCCCGAACUUGCAGUGGGUACGGGCAGACUAGAGUGUGGUAGGGGAGACUGGAAUUCCUGGUGUAGCGGUGAAAUGCGCAGAUAUCGGGAGGAACACCGGUGGCGAAGGCGGUUCUCUGGGCCUUACCUGACGCUGAGGAGCGAAAGCGUGGGGAGCGAACAGG